rnacentral:ncRNA from 2 species
GGCUUAUAAAGAAAGAUGGAGGGAACUGACCCUGUGAAGUCUUAACAACCUGCCUGGGGCAAGGUGUUACAUUCAGCCUUUUUAGGAAAGAUAAGCA